AUACGGAGGAUCCGAGCGUUAUCCGGAUUUAUUGGGUUUAAAGGGUGCGCAGGCGGGAGAUUAAGUCGGCGGUGAAAUUUUGCAGCUCAACUGUAAAAGUGCCUUCGAAACUGGUUUCCUUGAGUGUAGAUGAAGUAGGCGGAAUUUGUGGUGUAGCGGUGAAAUGCAUAGAUAUCACGAGGAACUCCGAUUGCGCAGGCAGCUUACUAAACUACUACUGACGCUCAGGCACGAAGGCGUGGGGAUCAAACAGGAUUAGAUACCCUGGUAGUCCACGCAGUAAACGAUGAUUACUAGCUGUUUGCGAUACAAUGUAAGCGGCUGAGCGAAAGCGUUAAGUAAUCCACCUGGGGAGCACGUUCGCAAGAAUGAAACUCAAAGGAAUUGACGGG
rnacentral:rRNA from 1 species